rnacentral:rRNA from 1 species
AGUGAACGCUGGCGGUAGGCCUAACACAUGCAAGUCGAACGGCAGCACAGAGGAGCUUGCUCCUUGGGUGGCGAGUGGCGGACGGGUGAGGAAUACAUCGGAAUCUACUCUGUCGUGGGGGAUAACGUAGGGAAACUUACGCUAAUACCGCAUACGACCUACGGGUGAAAGCAGGGGAUCUUCGGACCUUGCGCGAUUGAAUGAGCCGAUGUCGGAUUAGCUAGUUGGCGGGGUAAAGGCCCACCAAGGCGACGAUCCGUAGCUGGUCUGAGAGGAUGGUCAGCCAGACUGGAACUGAGACACGGUCCAGACUCCUACGGGAGGCAGCAGUGGGGAAUAUUGGACAAUGGGCGCAAGCCUGAUCCAGCCAUACCGCGUGGGUGAAGAAGGCCUUCGGGUUGUAAAGCCCUUUUGUUGGGAAAGAAAUCCAUCUGGUUAAUACCCGGGUGGGAUGACGGUACCCAGAGAAUAAGCACCGGCUAACUUCGUGCCAGCAGCCGCCGUAA